rnacentral:lncRNA from 1 species
AAAAGAGCACAACCCACCUAUGUGUUAGUCUCCCCCUGAAGUCUACACUCCCCCUGACUUUUACAUCAAUCAAGGGUGCUAGGAACGUCCUCACAUUCCUAUGUUUCUCACAGGGUAUCGUUGUUUUCCUAAUGGUGAAUACAUGACCAUUUUGGAAACAACCUAUUGGUCGUAUAUAGAUACUUUGCAUUAGUAAUGACCUACCAAAGCAUUGCUUGGUGUAUUGGUGUAGGAGAUUACAGUUCCAUCUGCAUUCCCUUUCGACUUGCUUUUGGGAUAUGAUGAAUCUAAGUCAAUGGUUUCUUUAUGUAUCAUGAUACAUUUUAGUGACGUUGCGUUGGCGCUUGAACAAGUUCAAAUGAGAAUGUAUUACUCGGUCGUGUUCAUUGGGCUAAGUACAAUAUUGUGCCUAUUGCACUUUUAGAAAAGAGUCUUCAUUUCUCUACCCUUCUUGGUCAUCUUCCUUUGGACGAAAUGGAUUUUCCUUUACAUCCAAACAACAGCCGAUCAUUGGAAGUGCUAACAGUAUGCAUUUUGUCCAUGUAAAUCGCCUAAGAAUCU